ACAGAGGGGGCCAGCGUUAUUCGGAAUUAUUGGGCGUAAAGGGCGCGUAGGCGGCCACGCGUGUCUUCCGUGAAAUCCCUCGGCUCAACCGAGGACGUGCGGAAGAAACUGCGAGGCUCAAGUCCAGAAGAGGGGGGCGGAAUUCCCAGUGUAGCGGUGAAAUGCGUAGAUAUUGGGAGGAACACCGGUGGCGAAGGCGGCCCCCUGGUUGGAUACUGACGCUGAUACGCGAAAGCGUGGGGAGCAAACAGGA
rnacentral:rRNA from 1 species